AUGAGAAAUCAAAAACAACUAAUUAGAAAAAUAAAUUCACAUACAAAUAUUCAGAGGUUGGUUACUGUUGUGGCCCUGUGCCCCUAUAUAUCAUCACUCAAAAUACCGAGAGUAAGAGACUGCACCUGUGUUGCAUUGUCUUUAAAUACUGAAAGAAAUCGUUGCUUACAAUAUUGGUUAAAUAGAAAAAUACAGGAAAAAAAUGGUUGCCUUCAAAUAAUUAGAAUAGUCUAUAUUCGCUUGUAA